GGACGCAGACUGUCAGCUCCUGCAGAAGGAGAGCCCAUGAGCCUGGACCGGGGUGUCAGCCGAGCAGAGGCCGCCCCGGAGACCCCGGGGAGGGACGCCGGCCGUGAGGGACCUACGGGGGAACCGCUCCCACAAUGCAGACAUCCGGCUAGACAGGAAAAUGCACGUCACCUCUGGAACCAGUGGGAUAGAAGAGAUUUUUCAAGUUGUAAACUGGAAGCCCAGCCAGGUGAAGAAUCAACAGAGUAGCAGUCUAGCUGGAGAGAAACCUGCAUCAUUUCCACAAGCAUUAGCAAAAACAUCUGAUACAUGUAAUGACCUCUCAGCGGCUGUUGGAAAGGACUGAACUUGGGGCCACUUGAGAUGAAGGAAUAAUUCCUAUCGAAGGAAACAGUAACUGGCUCCAGUUCUCCCUGUGGACUAUCCACUGAGGAGGAUGCUACGCACUUGGCCAGUUAUUGCCAGCGAAGCUUCCCCAUCCAUCUGAGAUUCACAGCUGUUCAAAUGCCCAAACAGAACCCCACUUUGUAAUGACUUCAUACCAUAAAUCAAACUCUAGGAUAAAGAACAGCCAUUUGUAACCUAGAAUAAAUGUAUGAGUGUCCAUGCUAACCUUUACAAAUAUGUUAAAUAUUUUAAGGUAACUGGCCAUCAAUUAACUGGAGGUAAAAAAAAGUCUAAUAAAGAUAAACCCUAAAAGUCUCCACUACCCUAAUGAGAUAGCUGCCAUCCAGAGGCUGAGAUGAGAUGAGAUCAGAGGAAAUCGGGAUUAUAUAAACAAGGACCCUCAAAAGGGACUUGGCACAAUGAGUCAUAGCAUGGGCUGAUUUAUAUAUAUUUUUGGCACAUCAAAUCUCAAGAUCUCAGGAAGUGAAGAAGAAAACAUCUGUGCUUCUAAAAUAAAACCUGUUUUCCGGCAAUAUAAUCCAACUCCCUUUCCCCCAGCUGUGGU